rfam:Lepisosteus oculatus linkage group LG26, whole genome shotgun sequence.
GCCAACAGCCAUAUCACUCCGCAACUCACAACUAGCAACCUACUAAUGCUAAGCAGGUGUGAGCCUGGUCAGUACCUGGCUGGGAGACCUCCUGGGAAAAACUAAGGUUGCUACUGGAA